UGGGGAAUUUUGGACAAUGGACGCAAGUCUGAUCCAGCCAUGCCGCGUGCGGGAAGAAGGCCUUCGGGUUGUAAACCGCUUUUGUCAGGGAAGAAACGAGUUUCUCUAAUACAGAGACUUAAUGACGGUAACAGGAGAAUAAGCACCGGCUAACUACGUGCCAGCAGCCGCGGUAAUACGUAGGGUGCAAGCGUUAAUCGGAAUUACUGGGCGUAAAGCGUGCGCAGGCGGUUAUGUAAGACAGAUGUGAAAUCCCCGGGCUCAACCUGGGACCUGCAUUUGUGACUGCAUAGCUAGAGUACGGCAGAGGGGGAUGGAAUUCCGCGUGUAGCAGUGAAAUGCGUAGAUAUGCGGAGGAACACCGAUGGCGAAGGCAAUCCCCUGGGCCUGUACAGACGCUCAUGCACGAAAGCGUGGGGAGCAAACA
rnacentral:rRNA from 1 species